AUACGGAGGGUGCAAGCGUUAUUCGGAAUUACUGGGCGUAAAGCGCGUGUAGGCGGUCUUUUAAGUCUGAUGUGAAAGCCCCGGGCUCAACCUGGGAAGUGCAUUGGAAACUGGGAGGCUUGAGUGCUGGAGAGGAAGGGGGAAUUCCCGGUGUAGAGGUGAAAUUCGUAGAGAUCGUGAGGAAUACCAGUGGCGAAGGCGCCCUUCUGGACGGCAACUGACGCUGAGACGCGAAAGCGUGGGGAGC
rnacentral:rRNA from 1 species